rnacentral:rRNA from 2 species
GGGGGGGCGAUGUCGGAUUUAUUGGGCGUAAGCGAGCGCAGGCGGUUUUUUAAGUCUGAUGUGAAAGCCUUCGGCUCAACCGAAGAAGUGCAUCGGAAACUGGGAAACUUGAGUGCAGAAGAGGACAGUGGAACUCCAUGUGUAGCGGUGAAAUGCGUAGAUAUAUGGAAGAACACCAGUGGCGAAGGCGGCUGUCUGGUCUGUAACUGACGCUGAGGCUCGAAAGUAUGGGUAGCAAACAGGAUUAGAUACCCUGGUAGUCCAUACCGUAAACGAUGAAUGCUAAGUGUUGGAGGGUUUCCGCCCUUCAGUGCUGCAGCUAACGCAUUAAGCAUUCCGCCUGGGGAGUACGGCCGCAAGGCUGAAACUCAAAGGAAUUGACGGGGGCCCGCACAAGCGGUGGAGCAUGUGGUUUAAUUCGAAGCUACGCGAAGAACCUUACCAGGUCUUGACAUACUAUGCAAAUCUAAGAGAUUAGACGUUCCCUUCGGGGACAUGGAUACAGGUGGUGCAUGGUUGUCGUCAGCUCGUGUCGUGAGAUGUUGGGUUAAGUCCCGCAACGAGCGCAACCCUUAUUAUCAGUUGCCAGCAUUAAGUUGGGCACUCUGGUGAGACUGCCGGUGACAAACCGGAGGAAGGUGGGGAUGACGUCAAAUCAUCAUGCCCCUUAUGACCUGGGCUACACACGUGCUACAAUGGAUGGUACAACGAGUUGCGAACUCGCGAGAGUAAGCUAAUCUCUUAAAGCCAUUCUCAGUUCGGAUUGUAGGCUGCAACUCGCCUACAUGAAGUCGGAAUCGCUAGUAAUCGCGGAUCAGCAUGCCGCGGUGAAUACGUUYCCCGGGCCUUGUACAMCCCSGCCCGU